UACAGAGGUCCCAAGCGUUGUUCGGAUUCACUGGGCGUAAAGGGUGCGUAGGUGGUCGGGUAAGUCUGAUGUGAAAUCUCCGAGCCUAACUCGGAAACUGCAUCGGAUACUAUUCGGCUUGAGGGUUGGAGGGGGGACUGGAAUACUUGGUGUAGCAGUGAAAUGCGUAGAUAUCUGGAGGAACACCGGUGGCGAAGGCGGCAUCCUGGACCAACACUGACACUGAGGAGCGAAAGCCAGGGGAGCAAACGGG
rnacentral:rRNA from 1 species